rnacentral:lncRNA from 1 species
CACUUUCCCCAUCAGAGAGCAAUGAAUGUGAGCUGCUGGUCACCUCAGGUCCCUCCAUUACACAGUUCAUAAUCCUCUGCCUUGGGAAUGAGUCCACCCACAGUUGAAGUCUGUCUGCCUGCUCCGGUAAUCUAAUCAAGAUAACCCCCGAGGUGUGCCCUGGCCUGUCUCCCAAGUGAGUCUAGGUUAUGUCAGGUGGACAACACUCACCAUCACAAAUACUAGAAAAGAGAGAUGGGUGGGGUAGCAUGUGCUUUUAGUUUAGCAUCUCUGGGGAGGCCGAGGCCGAGGCCAAGGCAGGCCGGAGUUUGUGGGCAGCAUGUCUGCAUAGUGAGUUCCAAACUAGCCAGGGCUACAUAGUGAAACCCUGUAUUUAAAAAACAAACAAACAAACAAACAAAUAAAAGUAACCGGGUGUUGAUGACACACGCCUUUCAUCCCAGCACUCGGGAGACAGAGGCAGGUGGAUUUCUGAGUUGGUGGCCAGCCUGGUCUACAGAGUGAGUUCCAGGACAGCCAAGGCCACACAGAGAAAUCCUGACUUGAAAAAAAAACAAACAAAAAAAAAACAAACAAAAAGUAUUAAGAAUAAAACUAAAAAAAUGCGUGCAUGCUCUUGGCUUAUAGGAACGUAUAUGAUGGUGAAGUAGAUGGGGUGAGAACUGGGAUAAAAGAGAGAAGAAUGAACCAGUCCUCUCCCAGGCAGCAGGGGAGGUCCAGCCAGUAGCCAAAUUUCUGUGCACAUUGCGCCCUCUGUUGGCUGUAAGGGUUCCCAGCAAGCUCCCACCAAGGUCUUGGAACUCAAGUGUGGUGUGCACCCUGACAGUGGGUAUGUGGGCUGGCCCACCUGCACCCCUCUAUUCCCAGUAGAGGGUUCAGAGCGAGAGCCAGAGCAGGGUGCGGGGAACAGGGCAGUCUGAGGUAACCUGACCAUCAGGGCUGAGGCUGCUUCUUGCGCAGAGUCGAGGAGGGUUCCACAGGUUCGCCUGAUUUGCUGGCACAGGGUUCCGAGGGGAGGAAGCUGGGACCCAGAUCCCACAUCUCCACACGCAGCCCUCCUUUCUGGCAGGAAACGGAACACCGCAGAAUCUUCGAAGGAGGAAGAAAGAAAAAGGAGGGAGAAGACACCAGGGCAUGCAUGGAUGUAACCCCAAGGAGACCAUGGACUGUGGUGUAGAAGUAAUGCACAAUCCAGUGGCAGUACAUUUGUGGUGGUGUGUGGACAGCAUUGCUGCACCAGCCCAGUGUGAACAUCCUUGCUGUACCAAUCCAGUGUGAAUGUCCUUGCUGCACCAAUCCAGUGUGAACAUCAUCGCUUCACCAAUCCAGUGUGAAUGUCCUUGCUGCACCAAUCCAGCGUGAACACCAUCAAUUCACCAAUCCAGUGUGAAUGUCAUUACUGCACCAAUCCAGUGUGAACAUCCUUGCUGCACCAAUCCAGUGUGAACGUCAUCGUUUCACCAAUCCAGUGUGAAUGUCCUUGCUGCACCAAUCCAGUGUGAAUGUCAUUGCUGCACCAAUCCAGUGUGAACAUCCUUGCUGCACCAAUCCAGUGUGAACGUCAUCGUUUCACCAAUCCAGUGUGAAUGUCCUUGCUGCACCAAUCCAGUGUGAACGUCAUUGCUGCACCAAUCCAGUGUGAAUGUCCUUGCUGCACCAAUCCAGUGUGAACGUCAUCGUUUCACCAAUCCAGUGUGAAUGUCCUUGCUGCACCAAUCCAGUGUGAACGUCAUUGCUGCACCAAUCCAGUGUGAACGUCAUUGCUGCACCAAUCCAGUGUGAAUGUCAUCGCUUCACCAAUCCAGUGUGAACAUCCUUGCUGCACCAAUCCAGUGUGAACGUCAUCGUUUCACCAAUCCAGUGUGAAUGUCCUUGCUGCACCAAUCCAGUGUGAACGUCAUUGCUGCACCAAUCCAGUGUGAAUGUCAUC